AUGUUGCGGACACUAUCCUCAAAGAACAAGGUUCUCUGAGGAUUAAGGUUAGCUAUCUCAAGAGCCCUUUCUAUGGCAAUUUCGGAUGGUUUGCAGACAAUAGGAGUCUUUGGUAAAACAGAGCUUGGGUUUGGUUCAGCAAAAUGGCCAAUAAUGUCAAAAAUUUCAGGACCAUUACAAGUAUUUUUAGUUGCAGCAGCAGCUGAUCCCACGAAUUCCAUGUCAUCUUCAUCAUCAGAAAUGGUGCUCUUGUGGGUAGGAUUUAGAGUCUCAAAGCAAAUAAUCCCUUCAAAACAAUCCUCCAACCCAAGCUUGGCAAGAACUUUCAGGGCAUGUACUUUGUCUGCAUUUGUAAAGAUUACUUUUCGAAUAGGCAGGCUCAGCAGAAGACUCCUAAGGACAGGGUCUGGUUUUAAGUUCCCAUAGGGUAAUCUCCCAUGAACAUAACUGUGAUACUCAUCAUAGUCGAAGUCAUAGCCAAUUGCCCUGAGGCCGGCCAUUGUUGUCCCAUAAUUCUUGUACAGCAGGUUACCCAA
rnacentral:misc_RNA from 1 species